rnacentral:rRNA from 1 species
AAGGAAUAUUGGUCAAUGGACGCAAGUCUGAACCAGCCAUGCCGCGUGCAGGAAGACGGCCCUACGGGUUGUAAACUGCUUUUGCAGGGGAAUAAACCUUCGUAUGUAUACGAAGCUGAAUGUACUCUGAGAAUAAGGAUCGGCUAACUCCGUGCCAGCAGCCGCGGUAAUACGGAGGAUCCAAGCGUUAUCCGGAUUUAUUGGGUUUAAAGGGUGCGUAGGUGGUUUAUUAAGUCAGGGGUGAAAGACGGCAGCUUAACUGUCGCAGUGCCUUUGAUACUGAUGAACUUGAAUGAACUAGAGGUAGGCGGAAUGUGACAAGUAGCGGUGAAAUGCAUAGAUAUGUCACAGAACACCAAUUGCGAAGGCAGCUUACUAUGGUUUAAUUGACACUGAGGCACGAAAGCGUGGGGAUCAAAC